GCAACGAAUGAAUAAAGAUCGUUAGCACUCUGAAAAACAGAUGACAGAUGUGCCCGAAGUUACUACUUUAUUACCUCGCUGAUGACCAACGUUUAGGAAAACAUGUACUUUUAAUUCACCCUUGGGUGAAAUCGAAGCGUAGUGUGUACUGAAUGCGUGUUGAUGAUGAUGCAUAUGAAUUGCAACUUACACGUCUUCCAAACCUUUUCAGUACCCUGGCACAUGCUUUGUCCAAUGGACCAUGGAAGGGACUUUACUUGGCUGACGAGGACGCACCUCACCAGUAUCAGAGCAACAGCUGUGGGGUGUUUAUGCUGCUGGGGGACAUGCUCUCUAUCAGGAGGUGGUGGUUGGACAGCUGUUGGAGACCUUUAUGCUUGAAAGGUUUAUAUACUGUGUCCAUGUUGCUAUUUACUUAUUUUUGGUGCUCACGAAGAUCGUAGCCAAUACACUUGUCUCUCUGUCUCUAGCCCUGCAGAACUAGCUGGCUCCUUCUCCCCCUCUCCAUCUCCCCAUCUCAGUCACACCUUCCAAUCACUAAGCAGUGAAAGCCCUGCAGGGCUAGCUGGCACACCAAGCUCACCCUCUCUAUCUCCCCAUCUCAGCCACACGCUCCAAUCUGGCACAACAGAUGACAGGCCAUUCUUACCACCCGAAGUCCUUCAGCAAAUUGUUCAAGAGACGCUGAGACUGGACAUGGCGAUGCUUGGCGUGUUCAACAGGGUUUCAAACACAUUCCGAGAACUAAUCAAGCCUCUCCAUCCUUCCAUAUAUAUAAAUGAGUUUGGCAGGGGACAUUAAGCUUAAUAAAGACAAUCUCAUAUGCAUAACGGUUAGAAAGAUUUACAACAAUGCAGGCUGUGGCAGUGGCGCUACGCCUCAAAGGCUUCUUAAAAAAGAAGAAUUGGCCAAGAGCACCCCUGGUACUGA